UACGGAGGGUGCGAGCGUUGUCCGGAAUCACUGGGCGUAAAGGGCGCGUAGGCGGGCGCGUCAGUCGGCGGUGAAAGCCCACGGCUCAACCGUGGAACUGCCUCAGAUACUGUCGGCCUCGAGGAAGGUAGGGGCAUGCGGAACUGUAGGUGGAGCGGUGAAAUGCGUUGAUAUCUACAGGAACUCCGGUGGCGAAAGCGGCGUGCUGGACCUUUUCUGACGCUGAGGCGCGAAAGCUAGGGGAGCAAACGGG
rnacentral:rRNA from 1 species